CUUGGUCAUUUAGAGGAAGUAAAAGUCGUAACAAGGUUUCCGUAGGUGAACCUGCGGAAGGAUCAUUACCAAUUCAACGGUGUGGUCGCGGCCUCCGGGGGCUCCCCCCGGGCGGUAGAGGUAACACUCUUACGCGCCACAUGUCUGAAUCCUUUUUUUACGAGCACCUUUCGUCCUCCUUCGGUGGGGCAACCUGCCGUUGGAACUUAUCAAAACCUUUUUUGCAUCUAGCAUUACCUGUUCAGAUACAAACAAUCGUUACAACUUUCAACAAUGGAUCUCUUGGCUCUGGCAUCGAUGAAGAACGCGGCGAAAUGCGAUAAGUAGUGUGAAUUGCAGAAUUCAGUGAAUCAUCGAAUCUUUGAACGCACAUUGCGCCCCUUGGUAUUCCAUGGGGCAUGCCUGUUCGAGCGUCAUCUACACCCUCAAGCUCUGCUUGGUGUUGGGCGUCUGUCCCGCCUCUGCGCGUGGACUCGCCCCAAAUUCAUUGGCAGCGGUCUUUGCCUCCUCUCGCGCAGCACAUUGCGCUUUAGAGGGGUGUGGGCCGCGUCCACGAAGCAACAUUAUCGUCUUUGACCUCGGAUCAGGCAGGGAUACCCGCUGAACUUAAGCAUAUCAAUAAGCGGAG
rnacentral:rRNA from 1 species